UACUUAAGGGUCAAAACUAUGGCUCUUUUCUUAGUUAUGGCUCUUCUCAUUUCCUCACAAGUUGCAGACGCUCGACAGCUCGAUCGAUUUCCACAUAAAGAAGGUGAGAAGAUGAUCACAAGUUAUGCAAGUAUUGGAUUUCCCUGCCGCAGAGGAUGCUGUAUUGGUCUUCGCACUAGUCUCCAGCCUCCUUCUGAAGCAGCCGGCAAUUCCCAACCCUGCCAAUGCUGCCGUUAGCCCAACACUCACGUUUCCAACCAACCACUUUUAUUUUAUGUAAUUUUCAAAAAAUAAUUAUAAAGGAAAAUAAAGCUAAGUUCGAAUAUUUCUAAA